UCCCUCCUCUUCCCCUUUACGCUUCGUCCUCUCUCAUUCUCUUCUUCCUGUUGCCUUCUACGUUUCUGUGCGUUUUUAGACCCCAUUCUCUUUUCUCUCUCCCGUCUAUGGCCCCAUUCCUUGCCCCUCCCCUGGCUUUUAUACUAUUUCGAGGGAAUCUCUUUAAAUUCCGGAUCUCACCUCUAAAAAUAUUACGCUGUCUUAACUUUUGAUUUCUUUGGCUUAUCGAAAAUUAUGAUGUCAAUGCAAUACCCCAUCUGAAAUGCCACCCAGUGCGUCUCUGGACGCCUGAAGCAGCAGCACAUAGAUUUGGUAAAGGCAAUUUUCUGUUAUUUUCUCUAGUAUUGAAAGGGGGUACAGAGGGUGUGUAGCCCGCUGUGAUAUACGCCAAUACAGUCCUGUGGUCACUGGUCUUAACCAAUGAUUGAAUGGUCUUAACCUGAGAAUCACUAGUUGAUCGACAGUCUGCUUUCAACGUCCAGCUCCACGGGGAGCUGUCACAGGAUGUCGCAAGAGGGACUCUCCCAUUGAAUUCACUCCUGGAGAAUAGUCAUGAUGGUGUCAGGGACUGGGUGGAUUCUCUUCUGCCUCUUUCUACUGGGGGAGAGAACAGGACGUAAGGUUGACUGUGGGGAACUGCAGUGCUCUCUGUCUCCAGCCGGGGCGCUUCACCCUGUGCAGGGGCUGUUGGAGCGCUUUGAGGCCGGCCCGGGCUGUGCAGCCAGAGAGAGCGGGGAGAAAGAGACCCAUGUGAUCGCUGUGGGGAGAGGGACACGCAGCCCUGACAAACAGGUGACUGUGCUCCUGAGACCCCUGUCUCUGUCUCACCCCCCCCGUCAAACCCUCAUCCUGGUACUGAGCUCCAAGCAACCAGUACGCUGGUGGCUGGAGGCUGAGAGACUACCCCCGGAUCUGCCUGUGCUGGUGCAGGUCUCUCCUAACUCUACAGUGCAGCCCUACAGUCUGGCAGUGCAGGUGCAGCCUAUGCCCUCUCUGCCUUUCCGUCCGCGGGCUUUGCUGCGAUGGGCAAUGCAUCGCCAUGGCUCCCUGUCCUCCCUCACACACACAGCCAGUGCCAACCGCGUCUACGUCCGUGUGGGCGAGGAUAUCACCAUGCCCAGCGUGUGCCAGCUGCAGUCUCUGUUCCUGUCACACAACUACCUGACCUCUGACCUGCAGCCACAGGAAGUACAGGGCUGUGCUCCAGUUGGCGGAGGCGACCCAGAAGUGCAUGUCAUCAAGCUCCUUUCAGCAGGGUCAGGGCUUUGUGGCUCUCUGCAGGUGGAGGUGACUAUUUCUCUGGUGCCCCCAGUGGCCAAUGCUGGGUGGCACAAAUUGGUGCUGAUCCUCAUUAGUGCCGUUCCAGUCAACUGGGCUCUCACAGUGCCAGGGCUCCGGGGACACAUCUCUGUCUAUUCCUCCAACAGCGUGUCCCCACUCUACCCUCCGGAGCCUGACCUGACACUGACUAGCAUGCUCACCUCUGACCUCUCUACCACCCAUGACCUUUUGAGCUGGGCCAAUCGGAGUGGCUUUCCCAAAGUGGCCUCAUACACAGAGGCUGACCUGGCCAAUCACUUUGUGAUCAGACUGGCUGGGGGAGGGACAGCACACCUCUCUCUCUUUCUCUCCCUUCCCACAGAGGGUGACCCCCCUGUGCGUAUGCUGGAUGGCAGGCCCCCUUGGGUCCAGGAGCGCAGGCUGAGACAGUGGCUGAGUGAGGGAGGUGGAAGGACCAGUGGGGGCUGGGAGGCCGUCAGUGUGCAGUGUCAGGACGGACGACUCAACGUGGCAGUGGACAGGCACAUUCUGCAGACCCUGUCUCUCCCGGUGUCGGAGGUGACACUGCGGGAUCCUCAGUGCCUGGCCCAGUCCAACAGCAGCCAUUUCUUGUUGGCAUUCCCGGUCAUUUCCUGUGGGACUGAAGGGGUGCUGCAGGGAGAGCCCAGAGGGGUACAGUACAAAAAUGCGGUGUUGCUAUGGAGAAACAAGCCUCUGGUUGCCAUGGGCAAUGAGACAGACGAGGAGCCCACAGAGUGGACUCCACUGGUCAUACAUUUCAGCUGUUUUGCUGCAGUCCCCAGUGUCCCAAGCCUUCCUGUGGAGCAGCCCACUCUGCAGGGGCCGGGGCCUCUCCCAAGGGCCAGGGCCGGCCCACUGGUUUCACUGCAGCUGUUUGUUACAGAGGGCUAUGAGCAGAGGCAGACCGGUCCUUGUACCAUCACUGCUGACAACCGUGUCUAUGUGGAGCUUUCCUCUAAGGGGGCCCUCGGUGGGGGUGUGGAGGUGCGGUCCUGCAUGGUGUCUCCUCUAUCAGACCCCCGUGUGUCCCCUGGCUGGUCAGUCAUUAGAGACGGCUGCUCCGCUGACUCCUCACUGACACUCAGCAACAUGGCACAUGGCCAAGAGGAAGAUGAGGAUGAUGAGGAAUAUUAUGAAGAGGAAGAGGAGGUACCUAGAGUCCUAUCAUUCAGGCAUCCAGGAAGGGCUUGGAGGAACAAAGCAGGAUUGAGAAAAAGAGAACACGGUGAGAGCGAUGGAGGAAUGGGAGGAGAGGAGGACCAGAUACACAGUCUGAGGUUCAGUUUUGUCCUUCGGCCCAUCUACAACAACUCUGUCCAGUUCCUGCACUGUCGCAUCUGUCUGUGUGGCCCUGAGUCAGUGACCCAGGGGCCUCCAACGGCCAUAAUACAGAGUGGCUGUCCAAAUCCCUGGGGCCUCCGUAUCCCUGCCCUCGUAUCUGAACUACCCAGUCAACAGUGUGAGUACAGAAACUUCUCCAGACCCAUGCUGGUCUAUCAGCCCGUUGGUGUGGCCAGACAGCUGGCGCCACCUGCUGGUCAGAGAGGUCAAAUGCCCAGUGUGUCUCAGCUACCCAAGCCUAUCCCAGCCCACAGCAGCUCUGGGGUAGACACAGGCUCAGUGUUGGGGAUUGUGUUUGUUGCUUUCCUUCUGGGCAUCAGCCUGAUGGGGGCGCUAUGGUGCAUCUACUCUCACACAGGGGCUCCUCCACCAACCAGAAGAGGGGGCCUGAUCGAGAAUACUAACCCUGCCUUAUUAGACUCUUCCAACAGCUCUGUGUAGAGGUGAGAUGGAAUGUGAUAAGAGUGGAACAACACACACAGCAGCUGGGGGACCACAAAUGUUUCCUCUGGGAAAUCUGAGACCGAGGGUAAAGUGGAACAGAAGAUGAAACACCUGGUGUGUGUCUGUGAGUGUGUCAGACCUGGGUUGAAAUACAUGCAUAUUUAAGUAUUUGUUAUUUAAAUACUUAUUUUCUGUGUAUUUUUGUAUUUUCAAAUAAUGUGGCCAAUCAGCUAUUUUUACUUGGAAGUAUUUAAAAAAUAACUUCCUAUAAAUAGCAGAAAAUAUUUUCAAAUAUAUUAUUUCAAAAACCCUAGGACCAAACAGACCUGGGUUCAAAUGCAUGCAGUAUUUUAAUAUUUGUAUUUGAAAAUAGUUGAGCAUUUCCAAAUUCAUUCCAAUAUUUAAGUACUGAAAAAUAUCCAGAUACUUACUUCAAAAUGUCUUUGAAAGUAAUUGAAAUACCCUAAAUAGUUUUUGAACCCAUGUCUGGUGUGUGUAAAUACAUCUACACUGAGUAUACAAAACAUUGAGAACACCUGCUCUUUCCAUGAUAUAGACUAACCAGGUGAAUCCAGGUGAAAGUUAUGAUCCCUUGUUAAAUCCACU